AGUAGAAUGGCUGAGUUAAAAUAGGUGAUAGAUUGUAAAUCUAUUAAGGGGAAGAAAUUUCUCUUCUACUA
rnacentral:tRNA from 1 species